rnacentral:tRNA from 1 species
GGAGUUGUGGCUCAGUGGUAGAGCACUUGUCUAGCAUGUGUGAGGCCCUGGGUUUAAUUCUCAGCACCA